CCGCGUGAGUGAUGAAGGUUUUCGGAUCGUAAAGCUCUGUUGUUAGGGAAGAACAAGUACCGUUCGAAUAGGGCGGUACCUUGACGGUACCUAACCAGAAAGCCACGGCUAACUACGUGCCAGCAGCCGCGGUAAUACGUAGGUGGCAAGCGUUGUCCGGAAUUAUUGGGCGUAAAGGGCUCGCAGGCGGUUUCUUAAGUCUGAUGUGAAAGCCCCCGGCUCAACCGGGGAGGGUCAUUGGAAACUGGGGAACUUGAGUGCAGAAGAGGAGAGUGGAAUUCCACGUGUAGCGGUGAAAUGCGUAGAGAUGUGGAGGAACACCAGUGGCGAAGGCGACUCUCUGGUCUGUAACUGACGCUGAGGAGCGAAAGCGUGGGGAGCGAACAGGAUUAGAUACCCUGGUAGUCCACGCCGUAAACGAUGAGUGCUAAGUGUUAGGGGGUUUCCGCCCCUUAGUGCUGCAGCUAACGCAUUAAGCACUCCGCCCUGGGGAGAG
rnacentral:rRNA from 1 species